rnacentral:rRNA from 1 species
UACGUAGGGCGCAAGCGUUGUCCGGAAUUAUUGGGCGUAAAGAGCUCGUAGGCGGUCUGUCGCGUCGGAUGUGAAAGCCCCGGGGCUUAACCCCCGGGUCUGCAUUCGAUACGGGCAGACUAGAGUGUGGUAGGGGGAGAUCGGAAUUCCUGGUGUAGCGGUGAAAUGCGCAGAUAUCAGGAGGAACACCGGUGGCGAAGGCGGAUCUCUGGGCCAUUACUGACGCUGAGGAGCGAAAGCGUGGGGAGCGAACAGG